CUUUCAGGCACCAGGUUAAUGUCACAGAAGCAAACUGGUCAGCAUCCAGGGCAAGGAGCCAGAUGUAGUAACUGAACUCCAUUCUCUGAAAGACAAUAGCUCAGAGAGAAAAUGGAGAAGUUUCAAGAGGCCAGGAGAAUGUGAUUUAUGGUGGAGUUACAAUGUGGCAGUUGAGAACUAGACAAGACUGUGGGACUUCAUUUUUUCACCAUUUGCAGCAGCUGAUGGCAAUAAAAAUUGCAGAAUGCAUCAUCUGCAAGUGUUUUAUAGAGCUGAGAUGCUCAAGAGUUAGCCACCAGCCACAAGUGACUAUUGAAUACUUGGGAUGGGGCUAGUGUAACAAAGCAAGCCUUUUACAUCGUUUGCACCAUCCUCUCUCCUCAGCCUCCCAAAUCAUUGAGAUUACAGAUGUGAAGUACUGUGCCUGGCUCAAGAAACUUUGUCUUAAAGGGCAUAGAAAGGAGGGAAUGCUAGAGUGAUAACUGAUGGUAGAAAUGACAGCUGGGGUGAAGUUGACUAUAAACUCAUUGAACCGUGCCAUUUCAGUACAGAGACGGGAACCAGUGUAAAGGACUGAUUACACAGAUGGAGAAUAUCAAGGUAGAAAAGCA
rnacentral:lncRNA from 1 species